rnacentral:misc_RNA from 1 species
UCCCGGUUGGCCCGGGCAGUCUCGCAUGAAAAAUUCAACAUACGAUAAGGGUUGCGCUCGUUGCGGGACUUAACCCAACAUCUCACGACACGAGCUGACGACGGCCAUGCAGCACCUGUCACUAGGCUCCCGAAGGCACUCCACUAUCUCUAGCGGAUUCCUAGGAUGUCAAACCUUGGUAAGGUUCUUCGCGUAGCUUCGAAUUAAACCACAUGAUCCUCUGCUUGUGCGGGUCCCCGUCAAUUCCUUUGAGUUUUAAGCUUGCGCUCGUACUCCCCAGGCGGCACACUUAUCGCGUUAGCUUCACAGCACAGGGGGUCGAUACCCCAUACUAUUAGUGUGCAUCGUUUACGGCGUGGACUAC